AAUGGGCGAAAGCCUGACGCAGCCAUGCCGCGUGUGUGAAGAAGGCCUUCGGGUUGUAAAGCACUUUCAAUUGGGAGGAAAGGUUCGUAGCUAAUACCUGCGAGCUGUGACGUUACCUUUAGAAGAAGCACCGGCUAACUCCGUGCCAGCAGCCGCGGUAAUACGGAGGGUGCGAGCGUUAAUCGGAAUUACUGGGCGUAAAGCGCGCGUAGGCGGUUUGUUAAGUCGGAUGUGAAAGCCCCGGGCUCAACCUGGGAAUUGCACCCGAUACUGGCCGACUGGAGUGCGAGAGAGGGAGGUAGAAUUCCACGUGUAGCGGUGAAAUGCGUAGAUAUGUGGAGGAAUACCGGUGGCGAAGGCGGCCUCCUGGCUCGACACUGACGCUGAGGUGCGAAAGCGUGGGGAGCAAACAGGAUU
rnacentral:rRNA from 1 species